rnacentral:lncRNA from 1 species
GGGGUUGUGACCUGUGAAGCUGGAAUCCGGGGAUCUUGGAGAAAGAGGGAGCUGAGGUAUCAGAGAAAGAACGAGAGGAUGGACUCUUCCCAGGCCUCCCCACCACAUGGACACCAUACCAACAUUAGCAGUUUCCAGAACGCCUGGAGGGACCUUCAGAACUUGGCCUGCAGGAGUUCCUGUGCUGAACAGCAGAAGAAAAGUCAGCAUUCAGUUUUCAGCAAAGUGCACAGAAUGUGGAAAACACGACCAUCUUUAAACUACUUGGGAAUAUGUACAACUUUAAUACAGUUUCAGACUGCUGAGGACACUAUUCCACUUCAUAGAUGAGGAGUGAAUGUCUUCCACACUUGUCAAAUCCACAUCAAUGUUUGGAAAAGCUGGCGUCACAACAGCGCUGACUUUGGAGGAAAGAGAAGGCAAGAAAGAGAAAAAAAGAAGAAGAAAGACCAACCUUAAAAACUUAGGCUACUGACAGUCUUUGUCCAGUGGGCAUCAGGCGAUAAAUACAGAACACUAUUCUAACCAUGUAGUAAGCAUUCAAUAAUUCAUUGAUGGGGACAAGUAUUAGAUCAAUUGUCUUUUAGGCCUCUGGUUGCU